rnacentral:rRNA from 1 species
GUGGAUUAGAUACCCGGGUAGUCCAUGCCGUAAACGAUGUCUACUAGCCGUUGGGGCCUUUGAGGCUUUAGUGGCGCAGCUAACGCGAUAAGUAGACCGCCUGGGGAGUACGGUCGCAAGACUAAAACUCAAAUGAAUUGACGGGGGCCCGCACAAGCGGUGGAGCAUGUGGUUUAAUUCGAUGCAACGCGAAGAACCUUACCUGGUCUUGACAUAGUAAGAACUUUCCAGAGAUGGAUUGGUGCCUUCGGGAACUUACAUACAGGUGCUGCACGGCCGUCGACAACU